GCUAUGGGAGAUUAGGGGCUGUGUGUUGGGCAUAUUUGAGAUGCUGAUCUAACCUCCAGGUGGAGAUGCCAACUAAGCAGGUGGAAAUAUGAAUCUAGAGUUGAGAGAUGUACAGACUGGAGGUAAAAUUUAGGGAGACGUCCAUGGUAACUACAGACAUAUUUAGCAGUGUGAGGCUGAAUGAGGUCAUAGGGAAGGACUAUUGAGAGAAAAAGAGGUCUGAGGUCUGAGUCUUGAGGCUUUGCUGUGCUUAAGAUGAGGAGGAACCAGCAGGUUUAGAAGGAGUGACAGGAGCAGAAGGGGAUGAUUCAGUGGCCAGCAGAAGACAGGGUUUCAAGGACAAAGAGUGCUUAUUUGUCUGAAUGCUGCUAAGAUCCUGUAAGAGGCCAGUAAGAUGAGUUCAGGUCUAUCUCCCAGCUCACCCAUCCCGUGUUCUCUGUUCUGUGAUGCUGUGGCCUGGCUGUGAGGUUCUGCCAGUAGAGGGAGCUUGAGGCGACUGGAUGGCUGGAGGAGGAAGGGACUUACUCCCUGAUAUUCCUGCUUCUGGUUCCUGCCAGUGUCACCGUGCAAUGGCUCUUUUCCCUGGCGGGCUUGCAUGGUGCUGCCUCACCUAGAAACACUCUGGCAUGAGGGUGAGAAGACAGAGUCCUGAGCUAUCCUCCCAGAAUAUUCCAAAGCCUAGAAAAGACCAGGUCUUCACAAAAGGGACAGGUGGGUUAACAUGAAACCAGGAUGCUUUAUGUUAUGUGGCUAAUUUAUGCUCCACUUAUGAGACAGUCACCUUCUGCUCUGUGUGGACAUGUCUAAGCAGUCACUGCCCCCCAGGGUAUGUAACCUCUUCAG